GAACGAAGUCGAGUGAAAGUGCUGGAUUGUGCAAUCGACGUCCGUAAUAACUUGUUCUCAAUUGACUGCCUGCCCUUUUUGACAUGUCAAGACACUUCAGGUGACAUCAUCUGGGAUAGUUGGAACAACUCUACGCUCCACAUUUAAUUCAGUGUCAAUCCUGAUUUCAUCAACAUGGACUGAUGGAACAAAAGUCAUGCAAAUAUGCUGUUUUGUGUAGUGGUGGCACAAGAUAAAGUACUUCCUUGAUGAGUUCAGAGAUGGAUGAUCAAUCAAACAUAGAAUAUGGUUUCUAGCAACCCUGCAGGUAUCCUUCAUACGCCAAUGAGAGUGCAUAAAGCUUGCACAUAUGUCAACGGUAUCUGUACUAUCCCCAAUAUAGAACAUUAGACCAAUUACAUUGCCUAAUUACAAUGGAGCCUAUCAAAGAAAACGUACACUCCACCAAAACAUAAUUUGAAUAUUAAAAUAGAGAAAAACCAAAGAAGCACUGAUAAUUUCAUCAAAAUCUGACUAAGAUAAGAAGGUUAUGAAAUUUUGAGUUUCAAAAAACAUUAAUAUUAAAUGCAAAGCACAGGUCAAAUGAGGAUCAAAGACGUUCUUUUGUAUUUUAUCAUAUGAAACAUAGAACAGAUCCAUUGUCUUUGGCAGAGAGUAAUUGGUCUACCGGUAAUCUUAUACUUAGGGGGAUAAUAAUUUAAGAGAUGCUUUACAUAGGAAUGAAUAAUUAUGUAGUACAAUACAUUUUUCAGGAGCAACU
rnacentral:lncRNA from 1 species